CCUACGGGGUGCAGCAGUCGAGAAUCAUUCACAAUGGGGGAAACCCUGAUGGUGCGACGCCGCGUGGGUGAAUGAAGGUCUUCGGAUUGUAAACCCCUGUCAUGUGGGAGCAAAUUAAAAAGAUAGUACCACAAGAGGAAGAGACGGCUAACUCUGUGCCAGCAGCAGCGGGAAUACAGAGGUCUCAAGCGUUGUUCGGAAUCACUGGGCGUAAGGUGUGCGUUGGCUGUAGCGGAAGUCGUGAGUGAAAGGCGCGGGCUCAACCCUCGGACGGCACAUGAUACUGCGAGACUAGAGUACUGGAGGGGGAACCGGAAUUCUCGGUGUAGCAGUGAAAUGCGUAGAUA
rnacentral:rRNA from 1 species